rnacentral:rRNA from 1 species
AGCGCGGGGCAACCUGGCGGCGAGUGGCGAACGGGUGAGUAAUAUAUCGGAACGUACCCUGGAGUGGGGGAUAACGUAGCGAAAGUUACGCUAAUACCGCAUACGAUCUAAGGAUGAAAGUGGGGGAUCGCAAGACCUCAUGCUCCUGGAGCGGCCGAUAUCUGAUUAGCUAGUUGGCGGGGUAAAAGCCCACCAAGGCAACGAUCAGUAGCUGGUCUGAGAGGACGACCAGCCACACUGGAACUGAGACACGGUCCAGACUCCUACGGGAGGCAGCAGUGGGGAAUUUUGGACAAUGGGGGCAACCCUGAUCCAGCCAUUCCGCGUGAGUGAAGAAGGCCUUCGGGUUGUAAAGCUCUUUCAGCUGGAACGAAACGGUACAGGUUAAUACCCUGUGCUAAUGACGGUACCGGCAGAAGAAGCACCGGCUAACUACGUGCCAGCAGCCGCGGUAAUACGUAGGGUGCGAGCGUUAAUCGGAAUUACUGGGCGUAAAGCGUGCGCAGGCGGAUUGUUAAGCAAGAUGUGAAAUCCCCGGGCUUAACCUGGGAAUGGCAUUUUGAACUGGCAGUCUAGAGUGCGUCAGAGGGGGGUGGAAUUCCACGUGUAGCAGUGAAAUGCGUAGAGAUGUGGAGGAACACCAAUGGCGAAGGCAGCCCCCUGGGAUGACACUGACGCUCAUGUACGAAAGCGUGGGUAGCAAACAGGAUUAGAUACCCUGGUAGUCCACGCCCUAAACGAUGUCAACUGGUUGUUGGGGGAGUGAAAUCCCUUAGUAACGAAGCUAACGCGUGAAGUUGACCGCCUGGGGAGUACGGU